UACGUAGGGUGCAAGCGUUGUCCGGAAUUAUUGGGCGUAAAGAGCUCGUAGGCGGUUUGUCGCGUCUGCUGUGAAAACCCGAGGCUCAACCUCGGGCCUGCAGUGGGUACGGGCAAACUAGAGUGCGGUAGGGGGAGAAUGGAAUUCCUGGUGUAGCGGUGGAAUGCGCAGAUAUCAGGAGGAACACCGAUGGCGAAGGCAGUUCUCUGGGCCGUAACUGACGCUGAGGAGCGAAAGCCAGGGGAGCAAACGGG
rnacentral:rRNA from 1 species